rnacentral:rRNA from 1 species
GUGAGUAGUUCAGAGUUUGAUCCUGGCUCAGGAUGAACGCUGGCGGCGUGCUUAACACAUGCAAGUCGAACGGAGUUUCUUGGAUAGAGGUUUCGGCCAAUUGAAAAGAAACUUAGUGGCGGACGGGUGAGUAACGCGUGAGGAACCUGCCUUGGAGUGGGGAAUAACACAGUGAAAAUUGUGCUAAUACCGCAUAAUGCAGUUGAGUCGCAUGGCUCUGACUGCCAAAGAUUUAUCGCUCUAAGAUGGCCUCGCGUCUGAUUAGCUAGUUGGUAGGGUAACGGCCUACCAAGGCGACGAUCAGUAGCCGGACUGAGAGGUUGGCCGGCCACAUUGGGACUGAGACACGGCCCAG